AGGACGAACGCUGGCGGCGUGCUUAACACAUGCAAGUCGAGCGGAAAGGCCCUUCGGGGUACUCGAGCGGCGAACGGGUGAGUAACACGUGAGCAAUCUGCCCUUAGCUUCGGGAUAGCUCCGGGAAACCGGAAUUAAUACCGAAUAUGACUUCGGCCGACAUCGGCCUUGGUGGAAAGUUUUUCGGCUAGGGAUGAACUCGCGGCCUAUCAGCUUGUUGGUGGGGUAAUGGCCUACCAAGGCGACGACGGGUAGCCGGCCUGAGAGGGCGACCGGCCACACUGGGACUGAGACACGGCCCAGACUCCUACGGGAGGCAGCAGUGGGGAAUAUUGCGCAAUGGGCGAAAGCCUGACGCAGCGACGCCGCGUGGGGAUGAAGGCCUUCGGGUUGUAACCCCUUUCAGCAGGGACGAAGCGAAGUGACGGUACCUGCAGAAGAAGCGCCGGCUAACUACGUGCCAGCAGCCGC
rnacentral:rRNA from 1 species